GCAAGUCGAACGGUAAAAUGAGAGCUUGCUCUCGAGGACGAGUGGCGCACGGUUGCGUAACGCGUAUACAAUCUACCUUUUACAGGGGGAUAGCCUUUAGAAAUGAAGAUUAAUAUCCCAUGGUAUUAUUGACUGGCAUCAGUUGAUAAUUAAAGUUUCGGCGGUAAAAGAUGAGUAUGCGUUCUAUUAGCUAGAUGGUGUGGUAACGGCACACCAUGGCAACGAUAGAUAGGGGCCCUGAGAGGGGGAUC
rnacentral:rRNA from 1 species